CUCCUGAGUGCUGAGAUUAUAUGCACGUGACACCACUCCCAGCAAGCUCUCUUAAUCUCCUUCCUGUUGGGUGGGAAUAAUUAUACUGCCCAUUCCUACUAGAGCAUUAUGACAAGAAUGGUGUGUCAUGUAUAUAGAAGCACUCAGUAAAUGGCUGGCAUAAUGUUAUUUUCAUUAACUGUUAAUAUGAUAACUUUCCCUAUUUGUUAUCUUGGUUAUUCUGGGGUUUUUUUUGUUCCCUUGUUUUGAUUUUCAGUACUGGGGCUCAAACCCCGGGGGAGUUUUACUACUGAGCUAUAUCCCCAGCCCUUUUUAUUUCUAACUUUUACUUAUUUAGCAAUACUGGGGAUUGAACCUAGGGCCUUCACAUUGAGUAACAUCCCCAACCCUUCUAAAAUUUUUAAUUUUGAGACAGAAUUUCACUAAAUCAGUAAGUUGCCCAGGCUGGGCUUCAGCUUGUGAUCCUCCUGCCUCAGCCUCUCAGAACGCUGGGAUUACAGACAGGGUCCACCAAGUCAGGCUUUACUUAUUUUGAAACAAGGUUUUGGUAAAUUGCCCAGGCAGCACUAAAAUUUUCUAUCCUCCUCCCUCAUCUUCCCUGGGCGCUAGGAUUAGAUUUGCACACCCGCACCGGGUUUAAUUAUUCAUCUUUGUAUAACUCCUUCGGAAAACUCUGCCUUACACAGUACGUAUGCAGGCUCAUUGGUUGGUGAAGGCCUUGCUGCUUUGGGAGGCAGCAUCUUCAUCUACACAGGUUAUUCAGCAAGGAGGAUGAAAAGGAACGCUGGUGUCCACAUCCCGGUCUCCGGCGAGGUCCUGAGCAGGAUUCUGGGUGGCCAGAGGAAGGGACUGGGCCUGCUCAACCGUUGCCAUGGUAACCGCAGUCCCAGCUCCAGGACCUCCCUAACAAGGGGGCGGGGUCUCGGAAGCCAAUCACUCCUGAGGGCUUCGCGUGCCUCGGUCGCUUCCCGCCUUGCGACAUCCCCAGUUACCAGGCAGGCGCUGCUCCAUAAGGCCACGAGAUGGCGACGCGGAGCCAAAUUCCGCGCCCCACCAGGGAGGUGCUGGGGUAGAACCCGUCGGUCGGGCCUCUGGGUUGUGCUCUCCUGCCCCUAUCAGGGGAGGUCUUUGCUGCCAGCCUGGGAGCCGCCGGCCCGAGAAUGGACUUUCCAGACUCACUCUGUAGCCCAGGCUGGCCUUGAACUUGUGACCAUCCUCCUGCCUCAGCCUCUCGAGUGCUGGGAUUACAGACAGCAUCUCUCUUUGUAUUCCAAGCUGUCCUUGAAGUCACUAUGUCACCCAGGCUGGCCUCAAACUCGUGACCAUCCUCCUACCUCAGUCUUUCAGUUGCUGGGAUUACAGGCCUGCACCACCGUACCUGGCUCUAUAGUGUUUUUAUUUUAAAUUACAAGCUACUCACCAUGCAGUGCUUGCUCUAAAGCGGAAGACCACGCUAAGUCAUUAAUGGGGCGGAAGGCUGCAGGCUGAAGCCACAUCUACAGCAAGGCUGCCCAAGGUCACACAGCUGGAAAUCCUGGCACAGUCAGGAACCAGGCCCAACUUCAUCUGACUCCAUGGCUCUGCGGGCCUCUUGCUGUUAACGUUCUAGUUACCAUCCUGGUUUCCUUCUGAUCCUUUUUUCUAUGCAACAGAACAAGAAUAUUUACACGUACAAUUCAUGGAUUUCCCUUCUCCAAACCUAGUUCUCAGGAGCCCUGUGAAGAGGGCAGAGGGAAAGGCAUGGAUCUACUCAAAAUGCCUGGGAAAAAGCCAGGUGUUUAUGUCCUCCUCGUCACACCCCGGAAAAGCAGCUAGGAGAGAAGCAGAAGGUGAGCUGGCAGAGCCAGGGAUCAGCAAUUUAGAGCAGACAAGGGGUUGGGGAGCUCGGCUGAAAGCCUUGAACUUUGAGGAAG
rnacentral:lncRNA from 1 species